rnacentral:tRNA from 1 species
GCGGGUGUGGCGGAAUUGGCAGACGCGUACGGUUCAGGUCCGUAUGAACGCAAGUUCAUGGGGGUUCAAGUCCCUUCGCCCGCA